rnacentral:siRNA from 1 species
GAUGUCCGGUCUGCCCGCAAUA